rnacentral:ribozyme from 1 species
UGUGACGGUGGAAAAGACGACGUUGGAGGAGGUCUUCCAAAAGGUUGGCGAAGAGGGCGACCCGGAAGAGAUCGCAACGGCGCGAACGGUCAGCCGAAUGUCGGACCACAUGAAGGCGCAGCGCCAAAGUUCUGUAUCGGAGCGUCUCGACGAGCACACAGCUGCGUCGAAGGAACAGAAGGAGGCUCAGGCUC